AGCUCCUGCAAAGGGGCCCAGAAUGGUGGGGAAGCAGAACUUCUGCCUCCAACUCACUUUCUCACUGUGCUACUGCGGAUCCAGAGGAAUCUCUGCAUGUCUGCCUGGAUGAUCAAAACAGAUGGGAAGGAGCCAUGGUGGGGCAAUGAUCCUCUUCUGUUGCCUCCUGGAGAUUCAAGCAUUAUAUAUGGAGAGCUAUCAUCUCUACCCCUCCUCCCGGUUUACUCUCAUGGUUAUUGGGGAACAAGUGGUACUCAAGAUGGAUGAAG
rnacentral:lncRNA from 1 species